ensembl:lncRNA
CUCUUUUCUCCACUGAGUUUCCUCACUGAGCUAUCCUCAUUCUAUUACUCUUUAUAUCUUUGAUAAAUAUUUAAAUAAAUAGGUCGCCUAUGCCAUCUCUCCUUCGAAUACCCUGGAUCAGCCGGGGCUAGACCCCGGCACAGCGCUCUCUGUAUUUGACUCUGCUUUGCCUGAUUUCAUCGUCCAGAAUGCUAAACUGCUAUCUACCUAAUCUUCAAGGCAUGUCUCUCCCUGAAAAAUACUGCUGUCUUUACUUACCUCUCAAAUGCUCAUUAUCCAACAAUACGUGUACUUCAACGCUAAAAUAUUUGGACAUCAUUCUCCAUUCUGCCACUGUUUCUUGUAGAUCAUCUUAGCUCUUUACACCUUUGAUUUUUUUUUUAAUGUGCGUUUGCUUCCUUAAAGUACCUGUGAUUCCCCCAUCACUCCUUACAGCCUUCCUUAUUAUCAUCUAUUGCCCUCCCCAUCAUUUCUCAAGAUCCACGGAGGACUCUGCAAGUUGAGAUAAUUCAGUAUCAGUGUGGUGGCUGGCAGAGAAAAUGGUCUGUGGUCUACAGAUUUCAAGCUCCUGGAGGAUGGGGUUCCAUAAACUGUAUAGCAACCAAGUUCCCUCUCCUAGGCUCCAAGCUGCCCAGCCUCCCACCUGUAGACUCAAAACACCACCAGGUUUGGAGACUCAUGGCAGCCCACUCCAGUCCUCUUGCCUGGAAAAUCCCACGGACGAAGGAGCCUGGCGGGUUACAGUCCCUGGGGUCGCAGAGAGUCGGACAGGACUGAGCGACUUCACUUUCACUUUCCGAGACUCAUGCCAAAACGUCCGCACGGAACCCUUCUCUCAGAACUGCAUCGCGCCUGAUUUCCUGCCGGUGCCAUGUUCCUCUGUGACUUUGAUGGCAUCCCUCCCUUCCUUUCCUCGGGGCACGGAGCGAUCUCCGAGCUCUAUUAGCCCAGCACCAAGUGCAGGUCAGUACUACCUGCAAUCAUCCCCCGGCACCGACCACCUGCCGGCUUGGACGCUCACUGCCUGCCUGCUGCCAGUUUGAGAGCCCUCAGCCACCAGCCAGGACAUCUGUCCCCAGACCACUGCCAGGCCUCCCAGCUACCAGCCACCCGCCCGCAGGCCCGCCUCACACGCUCGCUGGGUGGAAGCCAAGCGGUCCUCUGCUGCCCACCCGCGGGUCCUGCAGCACCAGCCGAAACCAGACCUGAACGCGGAUGUGAGCCCUGAAUCAACACAGGGACAGGAUGGCUCUCAUUAUUUCUGAAAUGAGUGCAUUGUUUUCUGUACUUGAAUGCGCUGUCUUAAUACCUAUAUUUACUCUAUUUUGUAGCUCACUUUUUAUUAUCUAAUUUGUUCGUCAACUGGCCUUUCUCUGGAGGUAAAGCACAUAUUCAGGAAAGUGCACAACACAUAACUAUGUAUCAUCACAUAGCAAGCAUAUCCAAGCAAGCGGUUUCCAGGUGAAGAAAUAAGACACCGUUCACCCCGGAGGUUCCCUCAGGCCCCUUUCCAAUCACUACUCUUUAAUCCUCAUCCAAGGCAACUUCUAUCCUGACUUCUAAACCCACAGUCCCCUUUUGCCUUUUUUUAAAUUUUAUAGAAGGGGAAUAAGACAUUAUAUAUUCUCUUUAGUCUGCCUUUUUUAUUCUAUAUUUAUUAGAUUAAGCCAUGUUUACUUCCGUGGCUGUGAUUCAUUUGUAUUAUUAUUUUAAAAAGUCCAUUGUAUGAACCUACCAUUAUUCAUAUAUUCAUUUUACUCAUGAUGACUAUUUGGGCUUUUUCUUGGUUUGGGCUGUAACUAAUAAUACUGCUUUGACUAUACUUGGGCAUGUCAUUUACAACACAUAUGCUUGUGCUGCUGUUGGGAAAAUACUGAUUGAGUUAUAGGGCACACAUACCUCCAACUUUAGGACACAAAUACCAAACUAUCUUCAAAGCAGUUGAACUAACUUGCAUGCCUCCUGACAGUGUGUGAGGAUCCCUGUCACUGCACAUCAUCAUUAAUGCUUGAUAUUUUUUAACUGUUUUCAAUUGAGGGUACUAUUAUCUCAUGGCUUAGUUUGUAGGAACAAGAAGUAUUCACUUUAAUGUAGUCCAAUUUAUUAUAUUUCCCUUUUUAAUUGCUCAUUUUGCUGUCCUGUUUAAGAAAUCUUUCCUCAUCUCAAGGCUAUAAACAUAGUUUCCUAUAAUAUAUUAAAGAACCGCACUGUGCAUUACUAUAGUCACUAGGUACACGUGGCUACUGAAAUUUAAAUUUAUAUCAACUAAAAUUUUUAAGACAUAAAAAUUCAGUUUUUCAUUCACAUUAGCAACAUGUCAAGGGCUCAACAAGCCCAUGAGUCUAGUGGCUACUGUAAAGGACAGCAUGGUUACAGAAUAUUUCUGACAUCAUGUAAAGUUCCACUGAGUGUAAAGUUCUCUUCUAGCAGCUUUACUGACUAUCGUUUUACUUUUUCAUAUUUAUGCCC